rnacentral:rRNA from 1 species
UACGUAGGGGGCAAGCGUUGUCCGGAUUUAUUGGGCGUAAAGAGCGUGUAGGCGGUUAGGUAGGUCCGUUGUGAAAACUCGAGCUCAACCUCGAGACGCCGACGGAAACCAUCUAACUAAGAGUCCGGAAGAGGAGAGUGGAAUUCCUGGUGUAGCGGUGAAAUGCGCAGAUAUCAGGAAGAACACCCGUGGCUAAGGCGGCUCUCUAGUACGGUACUUGACGCUGAGACGCGAAAAGCGUGGGGAGCGAACAGG